rnacentral:rRNA from 1 species
UACGUAGGGUGCAAGCGUUAAUCGGAAUUACUGGGCGUAAAGCGUGCGCAGGCGGUUUUGUAAGUCUGUCGUGAAAGCCCCCGGGCUCAACCUGGGGAAUGGCGAUGGAGACUGCAAGGCUUGAAUCUGGCAGAGGGGGGUGGAAUUCCACGUGUAGCAGGUGAAAUGCGUAGAGAUGUGGAGGAAGCACCGAUGGCGAAGGCAGCCCCCUGGGCUGAGAUUGACGCGCUCGAGGCACGAAAGCGUGGGGAG